CUUAAAAAAAAAAAAAAGGUCCCCACCUAGUAACUUGAAAAGAAAAAAAAAGUGCCAGGGACUGCUAGGUACUGGGGAGGGGACAGAGAAUAAGACUGUCCUAAGAAGUUAUUAAGUAAAGAAAAUGCACAAAUAGGCAAUUACAAUAUUGACUUAUGAAAGAGUUUUGGGAGCAGAAACUGGAGAGGAAUCUCAAUACCAUGUCUUUAUGAAGGAAUUAUGGAGUUGGACAUGCCCAGGAAUCCUAACAGACUUACCCAGAGGAUUUUUUACUAUCAGCCUGCUGCCACAUCUUAAUAUAGUUGGAGGUAGCCCAAAAUGAACCAGUAGGAUUAACUUCUGUCAACAUCUUCCUCGCAUUGUUGAGAUAAUUACCCUGAGGGGAGAUUCAGAGAGAUGAGAGCCUUCAAGCCACCAUGCAGAUGGAGGCUCACCCUUCAGUUCACCUCCCAGCUGGGUAAGAAUUUCUGCCAGCCUUUGAAGGGGAGUCAUUCCAUGAGCUGCUCUGUUCACAAGGAGCCAGUCCCUUCAAUCCAGCCCACCAGUUUGGGACCUCUCUGCCUGAAAUUCCCUGAGAGUCAAAGAAGCUACUAAGCAGCACUGAGAGCUGAGCAGAAAGCUGAGAUGAGAAACAGGUUAAAGUAAAGAUGGUUCAUAAGCUUCAACUCUCAUGCCACCUCCAGUCAGUUGGUAGAGGCCACCUCAAGCACUGUGCUGAGAAGCUGCACGGAAAAAGGACGCGUGCCACGUGUGCACUGCCAUUCCUAACUGACGGCAUAGAUCCCUCUACCCACUACGGUCUCUGAAUGAGGGUAUGCUUACUGAGUAAUAAAUGUCAUUGAAGGUGGCCAGGUCAGAGGACAGAGAUUUACAGUGGUUUUGGCUCUCAUCCCAAGUUCUUGCAGUAAGUGAGAUGUAAAAGCAACUCUUCUCACUCAGUAUCCAUCCUGAAGGACAGCAGGUAUCUAAAAACCAGAAAGAAUGUGACAGCACAGCCCAAACCCAAGAGGGAGAUCUCCCCAUUUGGGAUGAAAGUGAGGACUCUGCGACCUGGUUGCUCACAGUGUCCCCCUCAGUCUAAUCUCGGCACCUUUACUGACUUCUAACACUUGAUCUUUGCGAUCUUUCUUUCUUCGGCCUCCCCUAGUAAUUCCAUUCCUACACACAUUUAGGAAAAGCCUUUGGUAUUCAACAACAUCCCUCCUUAACAGGCUGGGAGCUUUAUUUUCAUAGGGCUCAUGGUACUACUACCGAUUUCUGAAUGAUUGCAGUCUCCCCCCUACACCUUGGCUAACCUCACCUGGGCCCCCCAUAAGUGUUCAGUAGGCUCUAAUUCAUCUCAAUAGGUCCUUAAGCAUUCCUCACUGCAUAUUCAAAACUUUCCCAUACCCCUCAAGCUGCUAGCCACCUCCCCUUUCCUCCCCACUCUUCCACAAGUAAUAACCUUCGUUCCUGUUCUGCUGAAAUGGUCAGACACUUGAUGUGAACUCUCUCCAUUUCCUUCUCUUCCACCCCAAAAUUUGUCUCUUCCCUGCUCCUCUGUUCCUGAUCAUAAGAAAUAAACAUCCCUCUUUCUUCAA